UACGGAGGGGGCUAGCGUUGUUCGGAAUUACUGGGCGUAAAGCGCGUGUAGGUGGUGGGACAAGUCUGCUGUGGAAGCGCCUGGCUUAACCGGGCGAGGUCGGCGGAAACUGUCCGACUUGAGGACGGUAGAGGGGGGUGGAAUUCCCGGUGUAGUGGUGAAAUGCGUAGAGAUCGGGAGGAACACCUGUGGCGAAGGCGGCCCCCUGGGCCGGCCCUGACACUGAGACGCGAAGGCGUGGGGAGCGAACGGG
rnacentral:rRNA from 1 species